AGGGUGAGGGAGGGGGUGGGAUGGGUGGGGGGUAACGGGGGAAACUGGGGAAGUGGGGAACCGAGGGGCAACCAGGGGAAGAUGGGGUGCUGGAGGAGAGCUUGUGGGAGCCAAGGAGCACCUUGGACAUCUGGAGUCUGGCAGGAGUGAUGACGGGUGGAGGGGCUAGCUCGAGGCAGGGCUGGUGGGGCCUGAGGCCAGUGAGGAGUGUGGAGUAGGCGCCCAGGCAUCGUGCAGACAGGGCGACAUCAGCUGGGGACGAUGGGCCUGAGCUAGGGCUGGAAAGAAGGGGGAGCCAGGCAUUCAUCCCGGUCACUUUUGGUUACAGGACGUGGCAGCUGGUUGGACGAGGGGAGCUGGUGGGCAGGGUUUGAUCCCAGGGCCUGGGCAACGGAGGUGUAGCUGGCAGCAGCGGGCAGGUGAGGACCCCAUCUGCCGGGCAGGUGAGUCCCUUCCCUCCCCAGGCCUCGCUUCCCCAGCCUUCUGAAAGAAGGAGGUUUAGGGGAUCGAGGGCUGGCGGGGAGAAGCAGACACCCUCCCAGCAGAGGGGCAGGAUGGGGGCAGGAGAGUUAGCAAAGGUGACAUCUUCUCGGGGGGAGCCGAGACUGCGCAAGGCUGGGGGGUUAUGGGCCCGUUCCAGGCAGAAAGAGCAAGAGGGCAGGGAGGGAGCACAGGGGUGGCCAGCGUAGGGUCCAGCACGUGGGGUGGUACCCCAGGCCUGGGUCAGACAGGGACAUGGCAGGGGACACAGGACAGAGGGGUCCCCAGCUGCCACCUCACCCACCGCAAUUCAUUUAGUAGCAGGCACAGGGGCAGCUCCGGCACGGCUUUCUCAGGCCUAUGCCGGAGCCUCGAGGGCUGGAGAGCGGGAAGACAGGCAGUGCUCGGGGAGUUGCAGCAGGACGUCACCAGGAGGGCGAAGCGGCCACGGGAGGGGGGCCCCGGGACAUUGCGCAGCAAGGAGGCUGCAGGGGCUCGGCCUGCGGGCGCCGGUCCCACGAGGCACUGCGGCCCAGGGUCUGGUGCGGAGAGGGCCCACAGUGGACUUGGUGACGCUGUAUGCCCUCACCGCUCAGCCCCUGGGGCUGGCUUGGCAGACAGUACAGCAUCCAGGGGAGUCAAGGGCAUGGGGCGAGACCAGACUAGGCGAGGCGGGCGGGGCGGAGUGAAUGAGCUCUCAGGAGGGAGGAUGGUGCAGGCAGGGGUGAGGAGCGCAGCGGGCGGCGAGCGGGAGGCACUGGCCUCCAGAGCCCGUGGCCAAGGCGGGCCUCGCGGGCGGCGACGGAGCCGGGAUCGGUGCCUCAGCGUUCGGGCUGGAGACGAGGCCAGGUCUCCAGCUGGGGUGGACGUGCCCACCAGCUGCCGAAGGCCAAGACGCCAGGUCCGGUGGACGUGACAAGCAGGACAUGACAUGGUCCGGUGUGACGGCGAGGACAGAGGAGGCGCGUCCGGCCUUCCUGAACACCUUAGGCUGGUGGGGCUGCGGCAAGAAGCGGGUCUGUUUCUUUACUUCCUCCACGGAGUCGGCACACUAUGGCUGCCCUCUGGGCUCCCAGAACCCACAACAUGAAAGAAAUGGUGCUACCCAGCUCAAGCCUGGGCCUUUGAAUCCGGACACAAAACCCUCUAGCUUGGAAAUGAAUAUGCUGCACUUUACAACCACUGCACUACCUGACUCAGGAAUCGGCUCUGGAAGCUAGAGGAACCAGACCUCAUCAGCCCAACAUCAAAGACACCAUCGGAACAGCAGCGCCCGCAGCACCCACCCCGCACCGGCGACUCCAUCUUCAUGGCCACCCCCUGCGGCGGACGGUUGACCACCAGCCACCACAUCAUCCCAGAGCUGAGCUCCUCCAGCGGGAUGACGCCGUCCCCACCACCUCCCUCUUCUUCUUUUUCAUCCUUCUGUCUCUUUGUUUCUGAGCUUUCCUGUCUUUCCUUUUUUCUGAGAGAUUCAAAGCCUCCACGACUCUGUUUCCCCCGUCCCUUCUGAAUUUAAUUUGCACUAAGUCAUUUGCACUGGUUGGAGUUGUGGAGACGGCCUUGAGUCUCAGUACGAGUGUGCGUGAGUGUGAGCCACCUUGGCAAGUGCCUGUGCAGGGCCCGGCCGCCCUCCAUCUGGGCCGGGUGACUGGGCGCCGGCUGUGUGCCCGAGGCCUCACCCUGCCCUCGCCUAGUCUGGAAGCUCCGACCGACAUCACGGAGCAGCCUUCAAGCAUUCCAUUACGCCCCAUCUCGCUCUGUGCCCCUCCCCACCAGGGCUUCAGCAGGAGCCCUGGACUCAUCAUCAAUAAACACUGUUACAGCAA
ensembl:lncRNA H19 H19 imprinted maternally expressed transcript